CAUUAGAUGGCAGAAUUAUGUAAUGAUCUUUUAAAUCAUUUAUGAUAUUAUAAAAUCUCUAAUGG
rnacentral:tRNA from 1 species